GGGAGUGCUCGCAAGAGAACCGGAACACAGGUGCUGCAUGGCGUGUCGUCAGCUCGUGUCGUGAGAUGUUGGGUUAAGUCCCGCAACGAGCGCAACCCUUGUCAUUAGUUGCCAUCAUUUGGUUGGGCACUCUAAUGAGACUGCCGGUGACAAACCGGAGGAAGUGGGAUGACGUCAAAUCAUCAUGCCCCUUAUGAUUUGGGCUACACACGUGCUACAAUGGAUGGUACAAAGGGCAGCAAAACCGCGAGGUCAAGCAAAUCCCAUAAAACCAUUCUCAGUUCGGAUUGUAGUCUGCAACUCGACUACAUGAAGCUGGAAUCGCUAGUAAUCGUAGAUCAGCAUGCUACGGUGAAUACGUUCCCGGGUCUU
rnacentral:rRNA from 1 species